UACGUAGGGAGCAAGCGUUGUCCGGAAUGAUUGGGCGUAAAGAGCUCGUAGGCGGUUUGUCGCGUCUGCUGUGAAAACCUAAGGCUCAACCUUGGGCUUGCAGUGGGUACGGGCAGACUAGAGUGCGGUAGGGGUGACUGGAAUUCCUGGUGUAGCGGUGGAAUGCGCAGAUAUCAGGAGGAACACCGAUGGCGAAGGCAGGUCACUGGGCCGCAACUGACGCUGAGGAGCGAAAGCAUGGGGAGCGAACAGG
rnacentral:rRNA from 1 species